UGGUAGCCGGACUGAGAGGUUGAACGGCCACAUUGGGACUGAGACACGGCCCAGACUCCUACGGGAGGCAGCAGUGGGGGAUAUUGCACAAUGGGGGAAACCCUGAUGCAGCGACGCCGCGUGGAGGAAGAAGGUUUUCGGAUUGUAAACUCCUGUCGUUAGGGACGAUAAUGACGGUACCUAACAAGAAAGCACCGGCUAACUACGUGCCAGCAGCCGCGGUAAAACGUAGGGUGCAAGCGUUGUCCGGAAUUACUGGGUGUAAAGGGAGCGCAGGCGGGAAGACAAGUUGGAAGUGAAAACCAUGGGCUCAACCCAUGAAUUGCUUUCAAAACUGUUUUUCUUGAGUAGUGCAGAGGUAGAUGGAAUUCCCGGUGUAGCGGUGGAAUGCGUAGAUAUCGGGAGGAACACCAGUGGCGAAGGCGGUCUACUGGGCACCAACUGACGCUGAGGCUCGAAAGCAUGGGUAGCAAACAGGAUUAGAUACCCUGGUAGUCCAUGCCGUAAACGAUGAUUACUAGGUGUUGGGGGAUUGACCCCCUCAGUGCCGCAGUUAACACAAUAAGUAAUCCACCUGGGGAGUA
rnacentral:rRNA from 1 species